UACGUAGGUGGCAAGCGUUGUCCGGAAUCAUUGGGCGUAAAGAGCGUGUAGGCGGCCACUUAAGUCCUGCGUGAAAUCUUGCGGCUCAACCGCAAGCGGUCGUGGGAAACUGGGUGGCUAGAGUGCGGGAGAGGAGAGUGGAAUUCCUGGUGUAGCGGUGGAAUGCGCAGAUAUCAGGAAGAACACCCGUGGCGAAGGCGGCUACCUGGACCAGCACUGACACUGAGGCACGAAAGCGUGGGGAGCAAACAGG
rnacentral:rRNA from 1 species